rnacentral:sRNA from 1 species
GUUGGGUGUGGUGGUUCACACCUAUAAUCCCAGGUACUUGGGAGGCUGAGGCAGAGGGAUUGCAAGUUUCAGGCCAGCCUGGACAACUUAGCAAGACCCUCUCUCGA